rnacentral:lncRNA from 1 species
UUGGCACUGCUGCCAAUUCCAAUGUGAAUGAGGCCACCCAACACAUCCACACAAGCUCCCAACUUGAGAGUGUCGAUGGGACACGUGUUCUUUGGUGGUGAUGGGGUUGGCACUGGUGUUGGUGGUGGUGGAGGAGGACAUGGUGUCUCAGUGGGUGGAGGAGGCUUAACUGGUACAACUGGGGUAGGUGUAGGUGUUGGUGGGCUUGGUGGUACAACAGGUGGUGAUGGUGGUGGCUUAACUGGUACAACUGGGGUAGGUGUUGGUGUUGGUGGGCUUGGUGGUACAACAGGUGGUGAUGGUGGUGGCUUAACUGGUACAACUGGGGGCUUGGGUACAUAGGGUGGUGGGGGUUGUACAACUGGGGGCUUGGGUACAUAUGGUGGUGGUGGUUGUACAACUGGGGGUUUGGGGAUGAAGGGUGGGUGCACAAUUGGGGGUUUAGGGAUAAAAGGUGGGUGCACGAUUGGGGGCUUGGGGAUGAAGGGUGGGUGCACAAUUGGGGGCUUGGGGAUGAAGGGUGGGUGCACAAUUGGGGGUUUAGGGAUGAAGGGUGGGUGCACAAUUGGGGGUUUAGGGAUGAAGGGUGGGUGCACAAUUGGGGGUUUAGGGAUGAAGGGUGGGUGCACAAUUGGGGGCUUGGGGAUGAAGGGUGGGUGCACAAUUGGGGGCUUGGGGUGGGGUGGUGGUUUGACAAUAGGAGGCUUGGGGAUGAAGGGAGGUCUCACAAUAGGUGGUUUGGGGACAGAAGGAGGUUUUGGUAUAUGGGGAGGAUAUACAAUGGGGGGUUUGGGGCCAUGAGGUGGCUUGGGUACAUGGGGUGGAUGAGGAUGAGGUGGCUUUGAUGGUGGCUUGGGAACAUAGGGAGGCUUUACAUGAGGGGGAUGGGGUGGUUUUGAUGGUGGUUUGGGAACAUAGGGAGGCUUUACAUGAGGAGGAAGAGGUGGUUUUGAUGGUGGUUUGGGAACAGAGGGAGGCUUUACAUGAGGGGGAUGAGGUGGGUGUUUAGGUGGUUUAGGGAUGAAGGGUGGCUUUACAUGAGGAGGCUGUUUGGGUGGCAAGUGUGGAGGGUAUGUUGGUGGUGGACAGUAGGAGUUAGCAAGAGAAGUGAGCAAACUACCCAAAUUCACAAUGAGGACUAAGAGCAAAGCCAGGGUAUAAUUCCCCAUGUUCAAAACUCCACAACCCUCAAAAGAGUUGG